rnacentral:lncRNA from 1 species
GAUACCUUAAAUUCAAAAUCUUUUAAUGUUUUCAUCGCUCAGAGUUUCCUUCUGAUUCUAUUCUUGAAGUCUGAAAUGAUGCCUACAAAGAAGGCAUGUAUUUUUGCUGCAAUGGGAGCUGCAAUUAUACUCAAAGAUGAUAAGAUGGAAUCCCAACCAUCUCCUCUCAAGCCAAAGUUGGCAGAAAUUGGAUCAUCCAUGAAUCAAGUUAAACUCAUUUCAGGUAUGUUUUAUGGACUAAAGAAGUUCAUCAUAGCCAGGGAUGAGGGGCACCAAGCAGCAGAGGACUCUCUAAGGAUGGUUGUCUAUUUGAGUUCUUGGGGACCCUAUUGAGUUCAAAUCUUGGUCCUAGAAAAUAAAUCAGUUAAUCUGUGCUGAAAUUUCUGUUUAUACAGCAAAGGAGAGCAAGAUAUCCAAUGUUCAGGAUGAAUACUUAUUCCAGGAAGGUUUUACAGGCAAGUGAACUUGAAAAGUAUGGCUACAAUCUGAAUGUUUGGAAAUUGUAUAUAUUUCCUAUUACAAAGAAAGAACUGCUCUUUGUUUUUGCAUUUAGCAUUCGAAAGUAAUGACUCAAAUAGUUCAAUAAUAUAAUGAACAAAGGUGUUAUAUAAUGAAUGCAAAUGUUUCUCUCCAUAUCCUAAAACAUAAAACCAGGAAAUAAGAAAUGGAAAACAAAAGUAAAAGAAAUGAAAUCAAUACCUAAACACAACACAUCCUGUACAUAAUUGCCUAAAAGUUGUAGCCAGAACACAAUACUUCAUUAAUUCAAUAUUUUUCACAUAUCAUCUGGCAGUUGAAAGUUCUGUGAACCGAAAAUUUGGUGGGAGCUGUUUUGAACGAAGACAGCAAUAGCACAUUUGUUGCUAUUGAAACCAUCCCAUAGAGAAAAAGUAACAGUCCCUGAGACUGUCUUCUUAGCAGAGAUGUCUUUGACAGUGCAGAGCUUCUCAAGCUUCCUAACCACAAAAUCAUUGGAUAGGACUUUCCCUUUGUUCUCUCCUUGAGGGCAGUCAUUCACCAAUCCGUUCUCGUAUAACGCCACCAUGACAUUGACACCAUCGUUGUCCACCUUAGACCUCAAAGCUCCUGUUAGGUUCACUUGCAAGGUUUCUGAUGUAGGCCUUUGGAAAUUUGCCUGUUCAGACAUAAUUUGCAUGAUGAUCACUUUUAACCUCUAUUUUAUAUAUCAGAAGAAUUAACUGGUUCUUGUCAUUGAAGAUUAACAUAAAUUGCAGAAACAGAUAUUUGCUAUACAAUACUUACUAGGCACAACCCAUUUUUCAUUUACAGAAUACAAGCAUUAGUAUUACUGAGUUUAUAUUUUUGAGCCUUUAAAUGUGAAUUUGUGUUAGGUUAGACCUAUGGUUUUCUACUAAUAGCUGCCUUGAUCUUGUAGUUCAACAACAUUAACAGCAGAAUGGAAAUGGAAAAUUUCUACCCCAAUGGCCAUAGUUUGCAGAUGAUUUAUGCACUCCGCAAAGAGAUGAAUGGUGAGAGAUGUCCGGAAGGCUGGAUUAGGAAUGAGUGUGUAAUAACCCAUUUGCUAUUUAUUGCAUUAGUUCAGAAAAAGAUACUAUGGGGAACCUACCCAUGUGUUCCUUCCACCUAGAUUUAUUAUUGCUUACCAAACUCAGCUCAACCAUUUCAUUGUAGGGACUUU